rnacentral:misc_RNA from 1 species
UUGACUUCGCCACUACGCCAUGUGCAUGACCUCCCCUUCUUUAUCCAGUGGCGACGCUUUCACGUCUGCUACGGGAUCCGCCUCGUCAGCGCUCGACACAGGGCUUUCCUGGCGUGACACGACUGACUCGCAGUUCGGGGUGGUGAUAUGGUGGUGGUUGUAGAGGGUGGAGGCCAGUGGGACUGUUGUGUGGGAAGCUUUGCGUCAGUCGGUGCCGUGAAAAGGACCAGCGACGAGAAACAAACUUAGUUGACCGUUUCCUACACUGCAGCGGUUGUCACCGUGUUGUUACCCUGUCGAUGCAUUGAGCAGCGGAGACCUAAGCGACACGACUGAAGCUGUCUACUUUUCUGAAGUUUCCAUGGCAACGAUCAGCUCAUUUCUGCUUUGUUGCUGCUGUGCCAUCGAACGCUUAUUGGCGAGAGGGCGCAGGUGUCUGUAGGGGGUAGCACGCGCUGGCCUCCCGUGGGGCCUACAGUCUCCGCCAGACGUCGCCCUGAAGCUGAAUCCGUCUCCGUCAGAGAUCGCCACGGACCGAGCGACAGCACACCUGAUGAUCUCGCCACACAUUUACCUCGCGUCCACGACAUCACGUGACAACGGGAAGUAAAUAACUAUUGUGAUGUAAACAUCAAGCACACGAUACCAUGUCCAGCCCGGUCCGUCAGAUUGCUAGUCGCCGUCUGCCACCCUUACAGGGGGCUGGGGCAAACACCCGGCUGUCCUCCAACCGCUGGAGGCCACGGAUACCCCACAACUCAUCUGACCCCCGCAGGGGAGCUCACCGCAGCCACCAGUCGCAGACCCUACAGGAUAUGUUUGUCACAGGUUACAGCGUCGUCAGCCAGGCGCCUCACGUCAUUUCCGGUCAUGGCUAUGCCUAUGGCAUCGCCAACGGGGACGACCUCAGGCCUCAAGAUCUUACUCCAGAGCUUGUGACUCAAUACCUACAGCAAAACCCAGAAUUCUUAGAACAUCACGUGACCGCAUACGUCAACACCGAGCAGAUUGAACGUUGGUUGCAGAGAAAGACCAACGUUAGUUCUCGGGCAGGGAACAGGUAUCGACUGGAUCAUCAUACACUCAAUGAAUGCCAGGGUUGUGUUCCUUGUAAAACACUCAGACAUGAUACUGUGUCUUUGACAGGGGAAGUCACUACUGAGGCAAGGACUUCAUCUCUUUCAAAAUGGAAGUCUCGCAUCCAGUCAAGCAAAGGGAGAGUAUUACAAGAACUAUCAAAGGAAAUGAACCAACAGCAUGGCAAACUGGCGGUUUUGUUAGAGCUGUCUGCCUGUGUGUCCGCUGCGGUGUGUGCGGAUGGUCACAACCUGUACGCAGUGGACGAAAACAAAGAGGAAAUAAGUCAUAUAUUUACAGAUAGUAGCGGCCAGAUAGUACAGGGGCGAACUGAGAAGACGAGGUACCGAGCGACUGUGGCAUCACAUGUGGCCUACUCCAAGGAACCUGUGAGGUUAAAGGACUUGGCCAUGGACAGGCGAUUUCCCGACGGCCUUGGUGUCGGCAGCAACAGGGCGCACUCUGUGUUGGCACUCCCCAUAACUGAUGGCAACUGUGUUGUGCUCGGUGCUGUAGAGUUCUACAGGUAUUCCAAGUACAGCCAUUUUACUGAAGAAGAAGAGGAGGUUGCUGUCUACAUGUUUUUAUGGGCCGACAUGUUUGUGGCCUACAUGGAGAUGCACAACAGCAUGACAAGACAGAGAAAACUAAACGAAUUUUUGCUGGCCGUUACGAAGUCUGUUUUCCAGGACAUUGUGAGUAUGGACUCCGUCAUCAUGAAGAUCAUGAAUUAUGCUCAGAAACUGGUCAGUGCUGACCGUGCCUCCUUAUUUCUCCUUGACCACAAGUCCAGAGAGCUGUACGCACGCAUUUUCGACGUGGGUAGCGCUCAGGGCUUUGUCUCAGACGAGCGCCAGCACAAGGAGAUAAGGUUUCCCAUGGAUAAGGGAGUGGCAGGCCAUGUGGCAUCAACAGGAGAGGUUCUGAACAUCAAAGACGCCUACAGUGACAACAGGUUCAACAGGGAUGUGGACCUCCAGACCGGCUAUCGAACACAGACCAUCCUCUGCAUGCCUAUCUACAUCCGGGGCAGCAUCAUCGGCGUGGUGCAGAUGGUCAACAAGUUGUCGGGAUCUUUCACUCGCAAUGACGAAGAAGCCUUCGAGACUUUCGCCAUCUACUGCGGGCUGGCUCUCCACCACGCAAAGUUGUACGACAAAGUACGACGGUCCGAACAGAAAUACCGGGUGGCCUUGGAGGUGCUGUCCUACCACAGCCAGUGCACGGAACAAGAACUGAACGCUCUGAAGGCUGAGCCUAUUCCAGACAACAUCCCCAGCAUAACAGAUUACACUUUUUCACCGUGGUCUGUGGAGGACAAUAAGAAGCCGCUGCAAGUGCUGUAUAUGCUCCGAGACCUCUUCAGUCCUAUGAGAACAUCUAAUCGAGAACAAAGGUUCGACACCACGGACCUGAUGCGCUUCACGUUGACAGUGAGGAAGAACUACCGCAAUGUACCCUACCAUAACUGGGUGCACGCCUUCUCCGUGGCGCACUCCAUGUACACCGUGGUCAAGACCUGUCAGCACCAGCUCACGCACCUAGAGUGCCUGGCCCUCUUCGUGGCCUGUCUGUGCCAUGACCUUGACCAUCGAGGCAAAACCAACGCUUUCAUGGUCAAGAGUGCUACCCCUUUGGCUGCUGUCUACUCCACGUCAACGAUGGAGCAUCACCACUUCAACCAGACGGUCACCAUCUUGCAGCACGAGGGUCACAACAUCUUCAAGCACCUUACAUCGGAUGAGUAUAAGAAGGUGCUUAGUGACAUCAGACACUGUAUCCUGGCAACGGAUCUGGCUUUGUUUUUUCCCAACCGCGCACGGCUCAAAGACAUCGUCGCUAAACAAGGUUUUUCCUGGAAUGCCGAUGAACACAGGCAGCUCUUACGUGCCAUUACAAUGACUGCGUGCGACCUGUGCGCCAUGACUAAAUCCUGGCACGUGCAGAUCGAGACGGUCAAGGUCAUCUACGCAGAGUUCUAUGAGCAGGGACUUGCUUAUGGGCAUCUCAAUGACCGCUUGUGAUCUGUGUGCAAUGUACAAGCCCUGGCGAACCCAGCUCGACCUCGUCUAUGUCAUAAUGGAGGAGUUUUGGCAACAGGGUGACGAGGAGAAGCUGAAGGGUAUGACCCCCAUGGCGAUGAUGGACAGGGACAAAAAAGACGAACUGCCGCAGCUGGAG